rnacentral:rRNA from 1 species
CCUACGUGCGGCAGCAGUGAGGAAUAUUGGUCAAUGGACGAGAGUCUGAACCAGCCAAGUAGCGUGAAGGAUGACUGCCCUAUGGGUUGUAAACUUCUUUUAUAAAGGAAUAAAACGAGGCACGUGUGCCUUUUUGCAUGUACUUUAUGAAUAAGGAUCGGCUAACUCCGUGCCAGCAGCCGCGGUAAUACGGAGGAUCCGAGCGUUAUCCGGAUUUAUUGGGUUUAAAGGGAGCGUAGAUGGGUUGUUAAGUCAGUUGUGAAAGUUUGCGGCUCAACCGUAAAAUUGCAAUUGAUACUGGCAGUCUUGAGUACAGUUGAGGUAGGCGGAAUUCGUGGUGUAGCGGUGAAAUGCUUAGAUAUCACGAAGAACCCCGAUUGCGAAGGCAGCUUACUAAACUGUGACUGACGUUGAGGCUCGAAAGCGUGGGGAGCAAACAGGAUUAGAUACCCGAGUAGUC